AAUAAGAUUAUUUUUUAGUUUUUUAUAUAAUGUUUUGACUCUUCGUUUUAUUUGAAAUUUUUUUGUAAUUAAUAUUUUUAUUCUUACUAGAUGAUAAAACAUGAAUAAUACUUUAUGCGUGAAGUUUCUUUAACAAAUUUUUCAAAUAAGACGAAUGGUCAAACGUUAGGUACAGAAAAAC
rnacentral:pre_miRNA from 1 species